rnacentral:rRNA from 1 species
CACGUAGGGGGCGAGCGUUGUCCGGAUUUAUUGGGCGUAAAGAGCUCGUAGGCGGCUCGGUAAGUCAGGUGUGAAAACUCUAGGCUCAACCUAGAGACGCCACCUGAUACUGCUGUGGCUAGAGUCCGGUAGGGGAGCAUGGAAUUCCUGGUGUAGCGGUGAAAUGCGCAGAUAUCGAGAGGAACACCUGCGGCGAAGGCGGGUUGCUGGGCUGACACUGACGCUGAUGCGCGAAAGCCAGGGGAGCGAACGGG